rnacentral:ncRNA from 12 species
UCCACCCGGGUCUGUGGUUGCGGGCGCAAGCCCUAGUCCAUGGUAGGCGCGGCCGAAUGGACCCACGUAAGCACGCCGGCGAAAGCCGAUGUGUGAGCAUGGCGCGCCUUAGGGGUAAGUCGUACCGUCCGUUCAGGGUCGCAUCCCGCGAUCCCGGGCGAGAGGGCCGGUAGUGAGAUGACAUCAAGCGGAAGCCCCCGUACGCGAGUGUGGGGCCAAAGACCAGGUCAGCCGGGUGGA